rnacentral:rRNA from 1 species
CUCAGGAUGAACGCCGGCGGUGUGCCUAAUACAUGCAAGUCGUACGCACUGGCCCAACUGAUUGAUGGUGCUUGCACCUGAUUGACGUUGGAUCACCAGUGAGUGGCGGACGGGUGAGUAACACGUAGGUAACCUGCCCCGGAGCGGGGGAUAACAUUUGGAAACAGAUGCUAAUACCGCAUAACAACAAAAGCCACAUGGCUUUUGUUUGAAAGAUGGCUUUGGCUAUCACUCUGGGAUGGACCUGCGGUGCAUUAGCUAGUUGGUAAGGUAACGGCUUACCAAGGCGAUGAUGCAUAGCCGAGUUGAGAGACUGAUCGGCCACAAUGGAACUGAGACACGGUCCAUACUCCUACGGGAGGCAGCAGUAGGGAAUCUUGCACAAUGGGCGCAAGCCUGAUGGAGCAACACCGCGUGAGUAAAGAAGGGUUUCGGCUCGUAAAGCUCUGUUGUUGGAGAAGAACGUGCGUGAGAGUAACUGUUCACGCAGUGACGGUAUCCAACCAGAAAGUCACGGCUAACUACGUGCCAGCAGCCGCGGUAAUACGUAGGUGGCAAGCGUUAUCCGGAUUUAUUGGGCGUAAAGCGAGCGCAGGCGGUUGCUUAGGUCUGAUGUGAAAGCCUUCGGCUUAACCGAAGAAGUGCAUCGGAAACCGGGCGACUUGAGUGCAGAAGAGGACAGUGGAACUCCAUGUGUAGCGGUGGAAUGCGUAGAUAUAUGGAAGAACACCAGUGGCGAAGGCGGCUGUCUGGUCUGCAACUGACGCUGAGGCUCGAAAGCAUGGGUAGCGAACAGGAUUAGAUACCCUGGUAGUCCAUGCCGUAAACGAUGAGUGCUAGGUGUUGGAAGGGUUUCCGCCCUUCAGUGCCGGAGCUAACGCAUUAAGCACUCCGCCUGGG